rnacentral:rRNA from 1 species
CACAAGCGGUGGAUGAUGUGGAUUAAUUCGAUGCAACGCGAAAACCUUACCUACCUUGACAUGUCCGGAAUCCCGAAGAGAGUUUGGGAGUGCUCGCAAGAGAACCGGAACACAGGUGCUGCAUGGCUGUCGUCAGCUCGUGUCGUGAGAUGUUGGGUUAAGUCCCGCAACGAGCGCAACCCUUGUCAUUAGUUGCCAUCAUUUGGUUGGGCACUCUAAUGAGACUGCCGGUGACAAACCGGAGGAAGGUGGGGAUGACGUCAAGUCCUCAUGGCCCUUAUGGGUAGGGCUUCACACGUCAUACAAUGGUCGGUACAGAGGGUUGCCAACCCGCGAGGGGGAGCUAAUCCCACAAAGCCGAUCGUAGUCCGGAUCGCAGUCUGCAACUCGACUGCGUGAAGUCGGAAUCGCUAGUAAUCGUGGAUCAGCAUGUCACGGUGAAUACGUUCCCGGGUCUU